UGACCACAGCAGGCUCUCCCACGGUGAAGACCGGCCCAACGUGGAUCUGGCAAGCAGGUUUCUUUGGGCAACUAUUGAAGUCUUGUCUUUUUACAACCUUGCCUCAUUCACCUCUAACUCGGUCCUCAGCACCUCUCCAGGACAGGAGGAGGCUGUGGUUUCUGGGCAGCUUGUGGCCCAUCUCCUGGAUACACUCCCAGACGACAGUGAAGUCUACAUCUGUGACUGUGUGGAGAGUCACAGAAUCUUCCGUUUGCCUUCACCCCGUCUGUCCUAGGCUGUGGGCCAGACUGCUUGGAGGCUAAACAGAAUGCACCUGGUAUUUGUAGCAGGCUGUUCAAGAAGUUUCUCCUCUAGCAGAAACAGGUGGAUCUAACCUGCAGCCCACGGGAUACCUGUGCCUCAGGAAGGCCAUAACUGCAGCCUGACACAGAAUUGUAAAUUUAGCUGCGCGUGGUAUCGAACAUCUUUGUUCUCAGCACUUGGGAGGCAGAGGCGGGCAGAUCUCUGUUCAAGGCCAGCCUGGUCACAUAGUGAGUACCAGGACAGUCAGAGCUACUGUCUCAAACAAACAAACAAACAAACAAACAAACAAACAGAAAAUGUGGGCCCGGCCCCCCACUGUGAGUGGCUGCAGCCUUGCUUGCCGACCUUGACCAGAUGUCCUCCCUAUUCAGAUUCCCUGCCUAACCAUCACUGAUCACCGGAGAGAUCACAGGAGGUUCUUUGUUCCUGUAUCCUGCAUUUGGUGUAAACAGCUUAGAUGCAAGAAUGUAGAACAUUCGGUAGUGAACUUCUGCCCUCCAGGGAUCCUCCAUUGUGCUAUAAGCCUGUAUUUAAGGUUUCCUCCCUCUUUCAAUAAAUGGCAUUUGGCAUUCGGCAUUUCAGCCAUGGCAAAUGA